UCACAGUUCCACAUGGCAAGGAAGACACAAGAAACUUACAAUCAUGGCAGAAGGUGAAAGGGAAGCAGGCUCCUUCUUCAUAAGGCGGCAGGAGAGAGAGUGCACAGGGGAAUCUGCCACUUUUAAACCACCAAGAUUUUGUGGGAGCUUCCUCACUAUUAUGAGAACAGCAUGGAGGAAACUGUCCCCAUGAUCUAAUCACCUCCCACCAGGUCUCUCCCGCAACAUGUGGGGAUUACAAUUCUCGAUGAGAUUUUGGUCGGGACACAGAGCCAAACCAUAUCACAUAGUAAAUGGGUAUUAACACAUACGAAAAGUUUUAUUUGCAUCUCUUGAGAUAAACACCUGAUUUUUCUUCUUUAGUCUAUUAAAGUAACAAAUUACAUUUAUAAACUUUACAGUGGCAAACCCUCCUUGUUUUCCUAAGAUAAAAAUCUUAGGAAAGGCGAUACUUUCCACACCCAGCUAAUUUUUGUAUUAUUAGUAGAGACGAGGUUUCACCAUGUUGGCCAGGCUGGUCUUGAACUCCUGACCUCAAGGAAUCUUAGGAGAUUGCACCACUGCACUCCAGCCUGGGCAACAGAGAGAAACUCUGUGUCCUCCUCCCCCUGCCCCCGCCAAAAAAAAAAAAAAGAAAAAGAAAGGGGGGUAUAAGUCCAACUGAUUUGCAUAGGUAGGGACUCUGAAUCACUAAAACUUGGAUUUAAGUGGUAAUGUGGUCCAUGGCAGCCCCCAGGCUAGACAGGCUUAGGAACAUUUAGACUAUAUCUGAAAUUAAAAUGUGACUCAAUGGGAAAAUGCAUUUCUGUACAUUAAUAGUAAGGUUGCUUGAACAGAAACAUGAGAUUGUGGAUGUGCAUAAGAAGCUCUUACUCUAACACAUACAGAUGUGCACUUUUGUCUUUAAAUAAGAAUCCAAGUUAGGACUGUACACAAUAAGAAAAUACUUCCUACUACAACUACUACUUUUGAAUAGAAUUUAAACUCACUUUGUCUUUCUCUCUACUAUACCAUCCUCUACUAUAAUGCACAGACACAUACAACAUGAGAGCCUUCUGGCGUUUUCUAUCAACAUGCAUUGGGAUUUCACAUUCCCCCUCCAACAGUCCAGAUCCCCUCACCAUAGUUCAGAAAAAUAAAACCACCUUGUCACGAACCCUUGUCCAGAGACCACUUCUUCCUCCUUUGAAUUCCCAUGAUGUUUUAUCUGCACCUCUCAUGAGGCUUAUCUCUUUCUGUCUUAUAUUAUAGUUGUUUACGUGUGGUACAUGUCAUGGUCAAGAGGGAAGAAAGUCUGCUGGCUUUAGAGUCAGACCUGUCUCAGGACAGAUCCCAGCUCCAUCCCUCACUAAGUGGGUGGCCUUAGGAAAAUACCAACUCUUGGGAGCCUCCAUUUUUUGUUUUGGCAAAAUAUAAAAUAAUCCUCUCUCUCAUAAUUGUUUUGAGGACAGUGCUUAGUAAACAACAAAAAGAAAAAACUCAAUCAUUUUUAUUGCUAUCAUUACUAGUGAUGUUAUUUUUGUUAUUUCUUAUGCCCCUUGCUAAUGUAUUUGUUUAUCCAUUCAUUCAACAGGUAUUUAUUGAGGACGAACUAUGUGUCAGGCACUGGUUGAUGACAUGGAAAAAAAAAGACAGAGUUUUAGGGGUAAAGGCAGCAAAUAAACAGGCAAACAAAUAAAUGCAGAGAUAAUUUCAGAUAAAGAUGUCCUGUGAAGAAACGAAAACAAGAUAUGCAACAGAGAGUAAGAGAGGCCAGGGGAGAUAAGGGAAGGCCCCUGGGAAGGGAGCUUCUGGGCUGAGACAAGGAUAAAAGGGAAGCAACCACCUAUGAGAAAUUCUAAAGCCAGCGCAUCCCAGAGGUGGGGGCAGGACGGCCAAUGGGAAGCCUCUGAGCGGGGAAUGAACUGACAGCAGAGUAAGCAAAGGAAAACAUGGUGUGUGGCACGCAGAGAUAUAGGCAGGGCCAGACCCUGCAGGGCCCAGUUGGCCCUGAUAAAGAGCAUGGAUUUCAUCCUCAGUGUGAUUGGAAAUCUUGAAGUAUGGUUCACUGGGUUGUACUCAGAAUCAUAUCUGCCUCCUGGAGAGAUGCUACCCAGCAGCCAGCCCACAGAUUUUUGCAAGAGGUAGAGGUGGAGAGAGGGAAAGAAGACUGAAAAGAAGAGAGAGAAGGCAGGAGAGCUGGAGGGAGCAAGGAAGGAGGGAGGGAGGGAAUAUCACAGCAGACAGACAUCCAAGCAGAUGAAUCUGAUGUCAGGGAUUCAAUGAAUCCCCCUGUCAGGGACUCAGUGAAUCCCCACUGCCAGGGACUCAAGUCCAGACUGAGGCUGGCCUUGGUGGGUGGGGACAUUUUCCAUCCUCCUGUGAACAUUUGGUGUCACACUGGUCUCAUUCCUCGGGUGGUCCCAGAUGGCAGUGGGGGGCUGGGGAACUGGGAGGUCUUGCAGAGGAACAACUCCUCACUGCCUCUGGCACUCAUCGCUGGCAGUUCUGUCUCUCAGGUUGCAGAUAACAACUGUCAGAUGGUCUCACUGUGAAGCAAUAAGCUUCCCUAAAACAAGGAGGCAGGCCAAGCGCCAGAAAGCUGCAGUCUGGACAAAACACACAGCCUGGAAAGAAUUAAAAGUUCAUGUGCAAUGAACAAAGCACCUCAGGGAAAUGUAAGGGGUUAAAUAUAAGCGCACAAUGUUCCCAACGCCCUUGAACACACAAGUAGGAAAAUCAUCACGCAUCCUUGGUAAAGGGAGAGAGAAGCACGGAGAGAAACAAGUUGAUGUUCCCAUAUGAGAACUAAAAAUACUGCUGUGAAAGGUUGGCCCUGCCUAAGAAUGGAGGGAGAGAGAAAUGAAAGACAGUAGGGGAAGGUAAGAAACAAGACAGGAGGAAGAGGCAGAGUGCAGCCCUGCUCAAGGCUCCAGGCUCCUUUCUCACGCUCAGGGCGCUCCCUUCAUCUGGAUAACAGAGCCUGGAUUGGCAGGGUUUCUCAGGACACCCUCCCUGCCGAUCUCCCUUUUUCAAAGACACCGUGGUGAGGGGAACCCAGCCACCGCGGUCACACGAUUAACCCAAGUCAAUAGAAACCGGCGUAAAGAGUGUUUUAGAUUAAUUCCCCUCAAUAAAGCUAAAAUUCACCUGAGUUGUAAAAAACUCCAGCUGAUACAAAAUAAACUACGAAAGUGGCUUUAACGCAUCUGAACCAAUGAAAGAGAAACAACAGGCUCUUCUUAAAUAUUUUUCUUCUUACAUUUUGAUCUGAAAUAUAAAAAGAACUGAACUCAAACCUGGCCAACCCCAGUGGCAAAAUGGUGUAUGAGGUAUUUUCCAAUGGACCAGCAUCUCCGAAAGAACACUCCUGGUUCAGAACAAAACAGUAGCACUUAAAUGAGGAAGAAGUGUGAGAGUGAGAGAAUCUGGAAUCAUAUGUGAAUGCACCUUAAAGUUAGCAAGCCUGGAUUGAUGGGAGUUUCUAGUUACAGCUCCUGUCUGGAGGAAGCAAUGCAGUAGUUAGAAUUAAAGGUAGAACUAGCUGGCUUGUUUCUUAUUCCUAACUUCCCGUUUCCUCAU
rnacentral:lncRNA from 1 species